rnacentral:rRNA from 1 species
AGAGUUUGAUCAUGGCUCAGAUUGAACGCUGGCGGAAUGCUUUACACAUGCAAGUCGAACGGCAGCACGGGGGCAACCCUGGUGGCGAGUGGCGAACGGGUGAGUAAUACAUCGGAACGUGCCCAGUCGUGGGGGGAUAACGUAGCGAAAGCUACGCUAAUACCGCAUACGAUCUACGGAUGAAAGCGGGGGAUCGCAAGACCUCGCGCGAUUGGAGCGGCCGAUGGCAGAUUAGGUAGUUGGUGGGGUAAAGGCCCACCAAGCCGACGAUCUGUAGCUGGUCUGAGAGGACGACCAGCCACACUGGGACUGAGACACGGCCCAGACUCCUACGGGAGGCAGCAGUGGGGAAUUUUGGACAAUGGGCGCAAGCCUGAUCCAGCCAUUCCGCGUGCAGGAUGAAGGCCCUCGGGUUGUAAACUGCUUUUGUACGGAACGAAAAGGCUCUUUCUAAUACAAGGAGCUCAUGACGGUACCGUAAGAAUAAGCACCGGCUAACUACGUGCCAGCAGCCGCGGUAAUACGUAGGGUGCGAGCGUUAAUCGGAAUUACUGGGCGUAAAGCGUGCGCAGGCGGUGAUGUAAGACAGUUGUGAAAUCCCCGGGCUCAACCUGGGAACUGCAUCUGUGACUGCAUCGCUGGAGUGCGGCAGAGGGGGAUGGAAUUCCGCGUGUAGCAGUGAAAUGCGUAGAUAUGCGGAGGAACACCGAUGGCGAAGGCAAUCCCCUGGGCCUGCACUGACGCUCAUGCACGAAAGCGUGGGGAGCAAACAGGAUUAGAUACCCUAGUAGUCC